UGAGAGCAGGUGAAAGGCCUUUUUCCAAUAUGAAUUAACAUGUGAUUCUUAAGGCUUUCUUUACGUGUGAAAGUUUUUCCACACUGAGGGCAGGUGAAAGGCUUUUCUGAAGUGUGACUUACCAAGUGAUCAUUAAGGUGUCCUUUCUUUGUAAACGUCCUUCCACAGUGGGAGCAGGUGAAAGGAUUUUUUUCUGUGUGAAUUAUCAUGUGAGUCUUAAGGCUUCUUUUAUGUUUAAAAGUCUUUC